GAAAUGCGAUAAGUAGUGUGAAUUGCAGAAUUCAGUGAAUCAUCGAAUCUUUGAACGCACAUUGCGCCCUUUGGUAUUCCUUAGGGCAUGCCUGUUCGAGCGUCAUCUAAACCUUCAAGCCCUGCUUGGUGUUGGGUGCCUGUCCCGCCUCCGCGCGCGGACUCACCUCAAAUCCAUUGGCGGCCCCCGCGUCGGCCACGAGCGCAGCAGAAACGCGAACUCGUGAGCCCGUCCGGGCGGCUCCCAGAAGCUACACCCACCCAGUUUGACCUCGGAUCAGGUAGGGAUGCCCGCUGAACUUAAGC
rnacentral:misc_RNA from 1 species